ensembl:lncRNA
CGGGGGCCCCGCGGCUCCGUGCUGAGGGUCGGCGCCCGUGCAGCGCGAGCAGCGCGGCCGGGGCCUGCAGAAAGUUUCCGCGGCGGCAGGUGGACGGCAGGCUGGGACCUGUUGCAAUUCCUGAUCGUUCUGGCCGCGUUUCAUCAAGCAGUUGUGACUUGAGAACUGUCCCGGCCCUCGCGCCCCAUAACCACGCGGUUUCCUUGGCCUCCUUGGCGCUUACGUCCCUUCUUGUCCCCCAGCAAGCUUCCUGCACGGCGUAACCGAGCCGCGUUUUGCGCCCCGUCGGGCGGCGGAAGGGUUAAGUCCCGCUGCGCUGAGCGUUUCGGCGCUCGUUGGCUGCCGGCCCAGCGCUCUCGGUGCCGUAUUGCAUCAGAGCGGGCAGGAGCACCUCGCUGCGCUCCCCCUCCGCGCGCUGUACUUGGAGCGCUUCGCCGUUUCCCACGGCAUGUUAAUUUUUUCCCUCCGUGGUCUCCAGGAUUCCUUCUCACGGGUUUCUUGGAGGAUGUUCUGCCCCGCUCCUCCCACCCAGGUUGAGGGCAGGGCGCCGCUCCGCUCUGCCCUACGCCGGGCGCCUGGAGCCCAUCUUUGCACCUCCGGCACACGGCGAGCCCUCGGUGCCGAGACGCUCCCCGCUCGGUGUCGAAACGUCGCCGCAGAGCAGUCCCGUGCGUUGCCCAGCGAGGUUCCCACCUUGAAGAUCAGAUCUGGAAAUUUCCAGGUGCGGUGUAUUGGGAGUGCAGUUUUCCUACCUCGGUGCUUGAGGGCUGCGACCCUGAAAUGGUGGUGGAAAUCAAGUACUGUCCCCAGCCAGAUAACCUACAGACAAACUGAGCAGAAUUUGGGCACUUCAGUCCUCAACAGAAAAGGCACAGAGGAGGGAUGUGGGGGGCUGCCCAGCCAUGUACAUGAAAGCUGGGAUUUCCUCGUCCAAGUACUUGGAGUACCAGAGUUGGCUGAGUGCGACAGGUGCUGUGACCUUAGCAGAAGCUGAAUUUCCCAGCUGCACCGUACCCGUUCCUCUUACAGUGAGCAUUUCCUCCACGUGAAGCUCAGCAUCCCAGCUCUGUGCAAAGCCCAGCCUUCGGUGCCCAGCACACACGGAAUGUCACAACUGCUGUGGCAGACUGUGGUGUAUGUGCGAUGCGGCCAGCACCUGGGAUGCAGGACUGGGGCAGUGACCUUCCUCCACUCUGUGAGUCAUCCUCACACUGCAGCACAGGAUUCUGCCCAGGAACAGAAUGCUCAGAGCAACGGAUGGAUGUGGAAACCUCUUCCUGAAAAACGCAUCCCAACUUUGAAGACAACCGCCCGCAAGCGUAAGAGCCAUAAAAUGGUAAGAACGCCACAAAAGACACUGAAGGAAAGCACUGUGGGCAUCACAUUCACAUCUGAUUUAACCAGCGACUCUCCCCAUCCUUCAAUCCUGAGCUGAAUACAAAAAGGACAACAGCUUUCCAGGUAGAGCGAUGUGAUAAAACAGGUGAUUUCUAAAAGCAAGUAAAGAACCCUAAAUUGUUGCCGCUCACCUUGGUAUUCAAAACUCAAAACCUCCACUCAAGAUCUCCUAAGACGCAAAGUGAUCUUUACCACAGUUGUACAAGACAGAUCCCUGGCUGUUCCUGUGGCACCGUACAUCCCGUGCCAUCUCAGGAGCUGGCUUGGAGCAAUCUGAACUGAUCAGAACGAUGCUGCGAAGAAGGGUGGACAAGCUGCAGUGAACGCAGGGCACGGAGAUGAGCCCCUUCUCCUUUCCAGCCCCUUCCCAGACACCCAGGAGCUGGGACCAGCAGUAUCUCCCUGAGGCCAGUCUUGCCCUUCCCUGGUGGAAGGCAUACCUGAUUCUAAGGCCUGAGCUUUGCAUACAGCUUAGUCCAGGGCCGGUGGGCUGCUUCCCACAGCAGGGAAUGAUUUCUUGGUGAGCAACGGAAAUUUCUUUCUGCAACAGUGACAGUUUAUGCCGGCCUAAAUUAUACAUAAAAAUACAUCCUAUUGUAAAAGAUGCCACUUCCUGCCCAAUGAAAGCCUUCCCCAGGUUAAGACGUGUGUCAGUAGUUCCACCUGUCUGCAGUGCUUGCCCUGGCUGCUGCGCUCCGCUCUGGCCAUGUGACGCAGCUGUAAAUUCAAGUAGCUGCUUGCAUUACCAGUGGGGCACAGCACAGCCAGCACGCAGGCGAGCUGGGAUGCACUUCAUCAUUUUAUACGUUGCAUCUGAGAGACAAAAGCAGAGAGAACCUCGGUGCUAGAGAGCAAUUUGUUUCCCUC